rnacentral:rRNA from 1 species
AUUGAACGCUGGCGGCAUGCUUUACACAUGCAAGUCGAACGGUAACAGGCCGCAAGGUGCUGACGAGUGGCGAACGGGUGAGUAAUGCAUCGGAACGUGCCCAGUCGUGGGGGAUAACGCAGCGAAAGCUGCGCUAAUACCGCAUACGAUCUAUGGAUGAAAGCGGGGGACCGUAAGGCCUCGCGCGAUUGGAGCGGCCGAUGUCAGAUUAGGUAGUUGGUGGGGUAAAGGCUCACCAAGCCAACGAUCUGUAGCUGGUCUGAGAGGACGACCAGCCACACUGGGACUGAGACACGGCACAGACUCCUACGGGAGGCAGCAGUGGGGAAUUUUGGACAAUGGGCGCAAGCCUGAUCCAGCAAUGCCGCGUGCAGGAAGAAGGCCUUCGGGUUGUAAACUGCUUUUGUACGGAACGAAACGGUCCUGGUUAAUACCCGGGGCUAAUGACGGUACCGUAAGAAUAAGCACCGGCUAACUACGUGCCAGCCGCCGCUGUAAGAC